ACGCUCCCGCUAGGACAAGGCAGUGACCCUCACACCAGGACAACGACAGAACCCUCAGAGGACAACAGGACCCCCUGGAGAAAGGGACGGUGACAGCUUCGGACAGGGUCUGCGGGAUCACCUGGAUACGCACUUGGAUACCUGGAGCAUUGCUCAGAGGAGGUGCCGAGGGACAAACCUUUGUGCCGGGUAGCGGCAGCCAAACAGGGGCUGAAACUGAAGGGGAGAACACAUUUAUUUGCCCUUGUUGAAGUGAGGCGAGCACCUGAGUGUGGCGUCCGUGCUGGAGAGUGGGAGAAGGGUCCCUGCUGGCUGCCGUGUCCUGGGUGGGCACAGAGCUCUGACCUUGGCCAGAUGGGCUGGUCUCCGGGUGUUUUGAUCCUGACGCUGAACUGGGGCUCUUACCUGUGUGACCUGUGAAAUGUCCCGGAAGCUGAUCGAUGUCUUUGUGCUCCCGCUGUGUUCAUUUGGGCUGCGCUUCAGGCUUCUCUCCCUGGGCCCUUGCCGUUGCUGUAUCUCUUGGAUGCCGUGCAGAACGGAAUCAGGCAGCCAAGCCUCAGGUUCACCUUCUCCCUCACCCUCUGCGCUGCUCGUGUGGCACAGCAGAUCCUGAAGCCAGGUACUGGAACGUGCUGCGUGUGUCACUGCUGGGGUGAAAAACAGAGCCCUGGGGAGUGUCGAUCCCCUCACCUGCUCUGUGCUCGUGCGCUCUUGCCUGAGCUUUUCCUCCUGGGCAAGAGAAGGGGAGGGUGGGCAGCA